rnacentral:misc_RNA from 1 species
AAAAUGCGAUACGUAAUGCGAUCUGCAUGAGCCUGUGAGUCAUCGAGUCUUUGAACGCAACUUGCGCCGCCCUUGCGGCAUGUCUGUUUGAGUAUCAUAUAUCCUCUCUCUGUCGCAAGACAACCUGUCUGGGCGUGGGUGUACCGGAUUAAACGAAGCAAACAUGGGAUAUCUGUGACUGCGCAGUGCACAGGCCGAGCUAGAGACCUUUGUGUCUUGUCGGCAAUGUGUCUGUGGAUGGUCACAUACCAUUGUUGGUCUCAAAUCAGGCAAGAUUACCCGCCGAACUUAA